CUACUUUAUUAUCACUUUGUUAUUAAUUCUCGCUAUGUUUACAAAAUCUUUUUGAUAAAUUGCAAAUGAUCCGUCAACUUUGAUGACAAUAUCUAUUCUGAAAAGUAAAGAAAAAUCGUUAAUUCGAUGAUCGAUACGUUAAAUAUAUUACGAGAAGAUCGAGAGAUUUAGGAUGAUCUAUAUCAAUAAAAGGAGAUCCUGAAGAGUGCACAAUCGAUUAUAAUUCGAGCGGAAGUUCCAAGCCACGUUCGAUUCGUGCGACCGAGCCGAGGGUGCGCACACUUAUAACGUCGUUCACAGUGAUCCCAACGAAAUUCAAGCCACUCUUUCACUUGACAACCCGACCGAAUGUUAACCCUGCUUUUACGAGCGUUCUCAUUGGUUGCGAAGUCGUUCGUAGACGGUUAAUAUAAUACCAACUUAUAACCAAAGCCGAAACCUAGGAGCCUCGAUUUUUGCUUUUACGAGCAGGCUCGUUUUUAAAAAUUAUCGUUAUUUUGCUCAUUCUCGGUCGAAAUAGUUUGUUCACGGACAUAUAAAUGACCUCUCGAAGAGGUGACAGAACUCAUAUUCGACAAUGGCUUAACCACAAUGUUAUGGCAUUUUCUUUCGAAAAAAUUCUUUCCAACGAGAUUAUCUUAGUCCUUUUAUGUCGACGAUCAAAAAACUUUUUAUUACGAUUGAGAGCUAUCGAUGAGUAUCCUUCGUUGAACAUCCUUUUUCUUUUUAAUAAUUAGAAAAGUUUUACGAAUCUCUCUGAAGUGUUCGAAAAUUUGUUGAAAAUAAUCUGAUUAACUCAACAAAAUAUCAAACGUAGCUGUAAUUAAGAAAUAAAAUUUUUACAGAUUCACUUUAUAAGUUUUAUUAAUUUGCGAAUGAAAAUAUCAGUUUAUUCCUGAAGUACUAAAAAAAGUAAGCAGAUCAUUCGUAAAACUUUUUUCAAAAUUUUUUCCAUUUGAUUUGUUUUCGGUCUUUAACUUAGUUAUCCAAAGAGAGUUUAUGAUAGCCGUUCACAGGAACGCUCGUAAAUGGCUAAUUGAUUUACAGUCCACGCAUUUCUACGGAUUCACGAUGAUGGAAUUAAUGCGGCGGACUCAACGUUCCGUUCUUGACAUCGUCAGACAAACGUAGUAGUAUUAAUACUGGUAGUAAUAAAAGUAGUAGGAGUAGUAUUAAUACUAGUAGUAAUAGUAGUAACAGUACUAUUAGUAAUAGUAGUAUAGUAGUAGUAGUAGUGGGAAAAUAUAUCGACGCGAACAUCGAUAAUACGUCGAAAAAAGAAGCAAGGAAAAAAGGAAAGAACGCUUAACGUUGACGUGUGCCAGGUCUUACGUGCAUAUAAUAAUUGGAUGUGUGUAUGUGUGUGCAGUUAACUUAAAAGUUCGCUAAUACUAGAAUGGUGUGGUCGUAGAGGAGAGAAGGAGAAUUGAGAACGUAAGGGGUGAUUAUGGUGAAGUAUAUGGGACUGUAAAGUUUCCAUUUACGAGCUUGCAUUUCGAGGCAUCGAGUAGGCGCUUUUAAUAAUGCGAAAGUCGUUCGUUGUUAUGCAACGAGUGUUGCUUUCGCGAAAACGUACUCAUAUUUGUACAUUAUUACUAAUCUGUCGAGUGCUCGAUAAGUCUCACAAAAUUUUUUACUUCACCACCUUUUCUCCUAAUCGUGAAAUAAUUCAUCUUAUCUGGAAGUUCUAUUUUUUUUUCUUUUUUUCUUUCUCAUUCUAUCUAAUCUAAUUAAAUUAUUUAUUUCUUACCUAUUUAUACGCCAUAAUACACACAAGUAACAAUCGAUUACUAUUAUUACAUUGUCUUACGUUUUUUUCUUUAUUCGACCAAAAAUAUUUAUCAUUUUUACUUAACAACGUGUUUACCUUUUAUGUUUUUUCUUGAAAAUACGCGUUUAAAAAAUGCAUGACGUUUACUUUCUAUUGCGUAAAUGAAAUAAAAAGAAAUAUUUGUACAUAACAUUUACUUAAUAACAUCCAAUCGUUUUUCUAGCUCAGGCUAUUAUUAGUUAAAUCAGAAAAGCUGCCAUUCUCGUACUCUCUCUCUCUCUCUUAAAAUUAUCGUAGAAAGUUUUACUUUAGUCAACCACUCUUUUCAUUCUUCGAUCUUCGAAAAAGGCUCGCUCGUAAAUCACUGAAAAUCUCAUGAUCGGCUUCCCUUUUUUCCUGUUUUACUACCGAGACGACGGCUUCUCGUUGACAGACGGUUAACUUUCGAAAUUUCUAGUCCGUUUUAUAUGACACUUUCUGUGGAAAAAAAAGAAAAAAAAAAAAAUAGAAAAAAGUAAGGAAGAAGAGAGAAAAGUAAGAAAGGGAGAGAAUGUAAGCGUUUAGUGCUGUACGAUACGAUAGCAUAACGUUUUUGAGGUCACAUGGUAACAUGAGGUAGUAUAGUAUUUACGAUCAUCUUGAGUUAGGUAACGAACGUUAGAGAGUUCACGAGUGUGUUCAAGGGUAGGUCAAGAUCUUAAAGGAUUAGACCCUUCGGUUAUCGUUCUGGUCAAACAGAUGUCAGAAUGUAUUAUGUAAAAGAAUUUCAUUGAACUGUAGUAAUAUCAAAGCCAUUAAUUAUAUAAUAAGUUUUUCACUUCACAUUAAUUAAUUAUGAUAAGCGAUUAAUCACAUAUUAAAAUAUAAUAAUUUAAUAAUGUAAAGUAAUUUGUCAAUGUUUGGCUCUUGAAAAAUUUUACUCGAAAAAAUCGAAAAAAUAUAUUCUUUUUUAGAAAGAUGUAUAUAGUGGCAAUUAAAAAAUGUUAAAAAUAAUUUUACAUUAAAGUCAAACGAAUAAAUGAAUCAAGGAUUGAUUAAUUAAUAAGAUAUGUAAAUGUUAUUAGAGAUAAAAUACUCGGUUUUCAUUAACGACGAAUGAUUUAAGUAUAUUUUAAAAUAUAAAUGAAUUAAUGGACUCUACUUAAAUUUAUCUUAAUCGAAUCCUGCAUACAGCGACGCUUUUAAAAUGGAAGAAUUCGCAUUUUAUCUGCCGAUUGCUCGGAUGAAUU